UGGGGAAUAUUGGACAAUGGGCGCAAGCCUGAUCCAGCAAUGCCGCGUGUGUGAAGAAGGCCUUCGGGUUGUAAAGCACUUUUAUCAGGAGCGAAACGCUGUCGGCUAAUACCCGGCGGAACUGACGGUACCUGAGGAAUAAGCACCGGCUAACUUCGUGCCAGCAGCCGCGGUAAUACGAAGGGUGCAAGCGUUAAUCGGAAUUACUGGGCGUAAAGCGUGCGUAGGCGGUUUCUUAAGUCUGCUGUGAAAUCCCCGGGCUCAACCUGGGAAUGGCAGUGGAUACUGGGAGGCUAGAGUGUGUCAGAGGGUGGUGGAAUUCCCGGUGUAGCGGUGAAAUGCGUAGAGAUCGGGAGGAACAUCAGUGGCGAAGGCGGCCACCUGGGACAACACUGACGCUGAGGCACGAAAGUGUGGGGAGCAAACAGGAUUAGAUACCCUGGUAGUCCACGCCCUAAAACGAUGCGAACUGGAUGUUGGUCUCAACUCGGAGAUCAGUGUCGAAGCUAACGCGUUAAGUUCGCCGCCUGGGGAGUACGGUCGCAAGACUGAAACUCAAAUGAAUUGACGGGGUCAUAGCUGUUUCC
rnacentral:rRNA from 1 species